rnacentral:rRNA from 1 species
ACGGGAGUAGAAUAACUAUGAUUCCCUUAGUAACGGCGAGUGAACAGGGAAAAGCCCAAAUUUGUAAUCUGGCACUUUUUACAAGUGUCCGAGUUGUAAUUUGUAGAACUGUUAUCCGUGCUGGACCAUGUACAAGUCUGUUGAAAAGCAGCAUCAUUGAAGGUGAAAAUCCUGUAGAUGAUAUGGACUACCAGUGCAUUUGUGAUACGGUUUCUAAGAGUCGAGUUGUUUGGGAAUGCAGCUCAAAGUGGGUGGUAAAUUCCAUCUAAGGCUAAAUAUAAGUGAGAGACCGAUAGCAAACAAGUACCGUGAGGGAAAGAUGAAAAGAACUUUGAAAAUAGAGUUAACAGUACGUGAAAUUGCUGAAAGGGAAACGUUUGAAGUUAGUUUUGUAUUCGUUGGAUCAGCUUCGCAAGGAGUGUAUUCUGAUGAUAAGCAAGUCAACAUCAAUCUAUGAGUGUCGGAGAAGGGUUUUGAGAAUGUAGCAAUUUUUAUUAAUUGUGUUAUAGCUUGAGACUUGGAUACGAUGCUUUGGAUUGAGGAACGCGUAGUAAGCUUUGAGCGGAUUCGAAAGGAUCUCCUUACUAUGGAUGUUGGUGAAAUAACUUUAAGCGACCCGUCUUGAAACACGGACCAAGGAGUCUAACAUGCUUGCGAGUAUUAGGGUGUUGAAACCCGAAUGCGUAAUGAAAGUGAAUUUCAGAUGUGAUCCGCAAGGUGCAACAUCGACCAGUCUGGAUCAUUUAUGUGAAGGUACUGAGUAAGAGCAAGUAUGUUAGGACCCGAAAGAUGGUGAACUAUGCCUGGAUAGGGUGAAGUCAGAGGAAACUCUGAUGGAAGCUCGUAGCGGUUCUGACGUGCAAAUCGAUCGUAGAAUCUGGGUAUAGGGGCGAAAGACUAAUCGAUCCAUUCUUGUUGU